ensembl:lncRNA
AUGACCACGCUCUCUUGUAUUUCCCGAUACAUUACUAAUUGCAGUUAUAUUUUCCAGGGAAUCCAAGUGACCAUGAAUCACAGACGUGGCAGGGAUUUAUCAAACAAAGAAAAUAAGCAAUCUGAUCCGGCAAAUAAACCCUGUUGCUGCAAACGUUUAAAAUGCUAUAAGACGGAUGGACAGCCCAAGAGGAAACGACUCAAGACGCGCAAGCAGAGGUGUCGGAUGAGAGGUGAGGGGAAAGAGGCCUCGAAGACGAAAUCAUAUCACCACCGCUGCCACCUCCAAACCAGUGGAGACACGGCACCUUUCCAUAACUGUUGUCGUCAAAGCGGCUGUAGUUCAAGGAGAGACGCGCCCUUUCCAAAGGUGGUUCAGGUGGCACAGGAGCCCAGCAUCAUCACAGACAGCCGCCUGUUAGGACACCAUGGCCUCUUCAGCCACGAGGUGAAGUCUAUUGACAUUCAACGCUUGUUAAGUGAGCAGGGGAGGCUGGGAAAAGGACAAAAAGAUCAAGAGGAGAAGCAUACUAUUUUCUGUGCGUCUUCAACAUCUCACAUUCCCACUCCUUUCUUCAGUAAUGUUUCGGGCACUGACACUGGUGAAGUUGUGCCAUUUGAGGGGACAGCCGACCCUGCUGCACACAUCCAUGUUUAUUGCCAGGAAAGAGGGAAGUUAAUCAGUCAUGAAUCAGAUAUUACACCUGGACAGAGACCACAGCAACGAUUUGAUAAUUCAUCCGGUAGCUAUAAAAGCAUCUUCUCGUCUAAACACAGCUCUUUCGGUGUAGAAAUAAGCAAGAGCAAGGGCCCUGUCAACUCUGUCAUGCGUGAAAAGGACAAAGCGCCUCAGCUGACUCCCACUGUUGACCACGACAUUGUCAAGAUAUCAUACAAGAAGAUAAAGACACACAUGAUCUCCGCUUUUGGGCCAACUCCAAAGAACCAGGAGCAUCUUACUCACCAGACACACGCUCGUAGUCACUACCCAAGUCCACCUCAGCUCUCCAGCUCACCCGCCGCCGACAGCUUUGGCACGCGGCACAGAAGACAAGGUCCCGGCGGUGUAUCCAAGUCCGUCACCGCAAUGGGAGCACGUCUGUGUGACUGUCUGCAGUUCCCACAGCUGAGAAGGAGGAACCUGCUAGCAGAGAGCAGGGAGGUGCUGUUGACGGCUCUGAGGGAGAGGCAUGGACCUCGGUUUCAGGAGAAGCUUCUCCAGGAGCAGCAGCGCUUCAGCUUAGGCACUGAUCUCGCCAUCCAGGAUCAUGAUCAGGAGCCAACCAUGAGAGAUGAAAAUCAUCUCUUGCCCACAGAUGCAUCAGCAUUUCAAGCCGACGCUGUUAGUCAGCUAUAUUUUGACUGCCAGAAAACAACAGCUUCCAAAGAGAUGAGAAGCAAGCAUUUUAACCAGAAGUCCAGUCGGCAACCACACCAGAGCUCGAAAUGGACUGCUGAAUGCUUGACAAGAACCGUGGAUACUUCUGCCAGUCUUUUGGAUGAUGUCCUCAGACCGAGUUGCUCUCCUCCGUUCUGCAUGGACUUUGAGCUGUCUGGAGCAUCAGGAAGUGAUCGUUUGUUCACUUUCUCUCCCACCUCAUGCUGGGGAGAGAAGGCCUCAGCACCUCAGCAAGUGGGCAGCGGUUUUAACAGGCCUGAGUGCAAAGACUCUAUUUUUGAUUCAUUCGGUGUUGUUCAUCAACCUGUUUUCAGAUCAUUUAGAGAGAUGAGCUGUGGGCCUCAGUUCCCUAAUGAAACACAGCUGCCAGAAAUAUUUUCAGCAGAGCCAAUGCAUUUCCUUCCAGAGCAAGACCCAUUUAAAACUGGCAUAUACAUAACUAAUAAAAUUCACGAUCCUAAUCAAAGCAGACAUUUCUCGACUUUCGGCCGAUCCAGCCACCUUUCAACUUACCGUCCCGUCAGCUCCCACCACACAGACAUGAUGCACUACCCCCCAUCUCACAUGCUUGAAAGAGGCCCAGCUGCUCCCCUUUCUUCUUUACCAAGCCCAGAGCAGUGGUCCUUUCCACCCAUGAAACUGUACUGA